rnacentral:rRNA from 1 species
GGUGAGUAACACGUGAGUAACCUGCCUUUCAGAGUGGAAUAACGUUUGGAAACGAACGCUAAUACCGCAUAACAUGAGAGAACGGCAUCGUUCUUUCAUCAAAGAUUUUAUCGCUGAGAGAUGGGCUCGCGGCCGAUUAGGUAGUUGGUGAGAUAACAGCCCACCAAGCCGACGAUCGGUAGCCGGACUGAGAGGUUGAACGGCCACAUUGGGACUGAGACACGGCCCAGACUCCUACGGGAGGCAGCAGUGGGGGAUAUUGCACAAUGGGGGGAACCCUGAUGCAGCGACGCCGCGUGAGGGAAGACGGUCUUCGGAUUGUAAACCUCUGUCUUUAGGGACGAAAAAAUGACGGUACCUAAGGAGGAAGCCACGGCUAACUACGUGCCAGCAGCCGCGGUAAUACGUAGGUGGCAAGCGUUGUCCGGAAUUACUGGGUGUAAAGGGAGCGUAGGCGGGGAGACAAGUUGAAUGUUUAAACUAUCGGCUCAACUGAUAGUCGCGUUCAAAACUAUCACUCUUGAGUGCAGUAGAGGUAGGCGGAAUUCCUAGUGUAGCGGUGAAAUGCGUAGAUAUUAGGAGGAACACCAGUGGCGAAGGCGGCCUACUGGGCUGUAACUGACGCUGAGGCUCGAAAGCGUGGGUAGCAAACAGGAUUAGAUACCCUGGUAGUCCACGCCGUAAACGAUGAUUACUAGGUGUGGGGGGGACUGACCCCUUCCGUGCCGGAGUUAACACAAUAAGUAAUCCACCUGGGGAGUACGACCGCAAGGUUGAAACUCAAAGGAAUUGACGGGGGCCCGCACAAGCAGUGGAGUAUGUGGUUUAAUUCGAAGCAACGCGAAGAACCUUACCAGGUCUUGACAUCGAGUGACGAACAUAGAGAUAUGUUUUUCCUUCGGGACACGAAGACAGGUGGUGCAUGGUUGUCGUCAGCUCGUGUCGUGAGAUGUUGGGUUAAGUCCCGCAACGAGCGCAACCCUUAUCAUUAGUUGCUACGCAAGAGCACUCUAAUGAGACUGCCGUUGAUAAAACGGAGGAAGGUGGGGAUGACGUCAAAUCAUCAUGCCCCUUAUGACCUGGGCUACACACGUACUACAAUGGUGAUCAAACAGAGGGAAGCAACACAGCGAUGUGAAGCAGAACCCGAAAAAUCAUAACAGUUCAGAUUGCAGGCUGCAACUCGCCUGCAUGAAGUCGGAAUUGCUAGUAAUCGCGGA